rnacentral:rRNA from 1 species
GAUGAACGCUGGCUGUGUGCCUAAUACAUGCAUGUCGAGCGAAGCACUUUUGUGCUUAGCGGCGAAUGGGUGAGUAACACGUACUUAACCUACCCUCAAGAUUGGGACAACACUUGGAAACGAGUGCUAAUACCAAAUACGUAUUUUUAUCGCAUGAUAGAUAUAUAAAAGGAGCUUCGGCUUCACUAGAGGAUGGGAGUGCGCUACAUUAGUUAGUUGGUAGGGUAAUGGCCUACCAAGACUAUGAUGUAUAGCGGGGCCGAGAGGCUGAUCCGCCACACUGGGACUGAGAUACGGCUCAGACUCCUACGGGAGGCAGCAGUAGGGAAUUUUCCACAAUGAACGAAAGUUUGAUGGAGCGACACAGCGUGCAGGAUGAAGGUCUUCGGAUUGUAAACUGCUGUUAUAAGAGAAGAAAAACCCUGGUAGGUAAUGACCAGGACUUGACGGUACCUUAUCAGAAAGCGACGGCUAACUAUGUGCCAGCAGCCGCGGUAAUACAUAGGUCGCAAGCGUUAUCCGGAAUUAUUGGGCGUAAAGAGUUCGUAGGUGGUUUUGUAAGUCUGAAGUUAAAUACCGGGGCUCAACCCCGGCCCGCUUUGGAUACUGCAAAACUAGAGUAAUAGAGAGGUUAGUGGAACUCCAAGUGAAGCGGUGGAAUGCGUAGAUAUUUGGAAGAACACCAAUGGCGAAGGCAACUAACUGGAUAUUAACUGACACUGAGGAACGAAAGCGUGGGUAGCAAACAGG